UUAGUGGCGGACGGGUGAGUUAACGCGUGGGCAACCUGCCUUACACAGGGGGAUAACACUUAGAAAUAGGUGCUAAAACCGCAUAAGCGCACAGCUUCGCAUGAAGCGGUGUGAAAAACUCCGGUGGUGUAAGAUGGACCCGCGUCUGAUUAGCUGGUUGGCGGGGUAACGGCCCACCAAGGCGACGAUCAGUAGCCGGCCUGAGAGGGUGAACGGCCACAUUGGGACUGAGACACGGCCCAAACUCCUACGGAAGGCAGCAG
rnacentral:rRNA from 1 species